UUCGAGCGUUGCCAUCGAUGUGUUAGGUGGAUGUCACGCACUCGCGUCCACUAUUAGAGUCAUGGAGACCAGGAUUUGGCGCGCGGUCGCUCUCCGAGAUGACCCAUCCUGGCUCGGUGCGACGCGCCGCACCACUAAAUCCUUGCGAGCCGCAGCCAAUUCCACGAGCGCAAUUGAUUUCUCUGUCGAUGCCAAUUGCGGCUGCUGCUUCCACGCGCCCGCCUCCCUCCGCUGGCUGACUCCCAAGUGAGCGAGUGCAACUGUUCCUUGAUCUCUUCCGGUGUGGAAGUAUCGGUGCGGCCGCAAAAGAAAUCCGAAAGAAUUAGAUCCCUGAGCAACAACUUGACAUGGCUUUCCAUGGAAUUUGAUUCCAUCCCCAAAGAAGUCUUGCAUCAGAUGCACUCAAUGUGAUAGGCAAAAGGUCGCAAAGGGGGUGGGGUGGGGGCAUAGUCUAGUGCAUGCAGGUAUGCAGCAUGCUGCUCUGGUUCUCUGGACCUUUCAUUUGCAGCUCAGCUUGACUUUGCUUGGUGCGAGAUCUCUGGCUGUGCUGGCUCACGAGGAAAAGAACAAGGGAGGGGUUGCCAUCAAACCCACUCAGAUUUGAGCUGUUGUGCUCCAGGACAUGUUGCUGCUGUGGAGAUAAGUGCGGCUUUUGGAGUUGUUCUUGCAUGGUGGUCUCGGUGCUCAUCCAAGAUUAACACCAAUGGGAGAUUAGCAAGUUCCUCCAUGUUUUUGUGUGAGGACUCCACACAACAUUUGAAGGAAACCAGUGAGCAAACAGGUGAUGUGUUUAGAUUUAAGGUUAAGUGGAGCUUCGUUUCAAGGUCUCAACACCACACUAUGCUGAGUACUUAGCCCUCAUCAUCAUCUUCUACUGCUGUGUAUCACCCUAAUUCUCAGUGCCAUGCCCUCAAAGUACUGGCCAUCAUUUAACUCAAUAGAAAUUAAUGCUGAGUUGACUAACAAGCUGCAAAAAACACUUUUGUAACACAAUCUGACAUGAAAUAAUUCAGCCUUGUUAAUCUUUAGAAAACACUUGUGAAUCAACAAGAGCUAUUUCUAGGGGAUUACUUUGUACAAGGUUUCUGUGUUGAUGAGAUAUGGCUUGAAAAUAUGUAUCACAUGAUUCUU